CCUUUUAUCUGAAUUAAAAAUUGCCUCUUUGUUUCCAUGCUCCCAGGAAAGCAGGCUGGAGUGUGGUUUUAGCCCUGCAUUGUGGUGCAGGUACCAACACGAGGAGGCAGAAGGUAACCUGGGUUUUUGCCUUUAGGGGUUGCUAGAAGCUGGUGAAGAGCAGCCGUGCUUGCAGUGUCGGGGAAUUACCACAGUGUGAGUUUGUUUAUGGGCAUGCAAGAGUUGUGUGCACGUGGGACAGAGGUAAGGCUGCAUGUGGGGGCUUUAAUUUCACUGUUUUUCUGUUUUCUGUUGCCUUAGUGCAGUUGUCUCCAGAUGCUCCAUCAGAAACAUCUUUUGAGUGGAGCUGGGAGCCCGGUAGGGUGCUUUUGCUGUUGCCAAGGGUGGGCAGGUUGCAUGAUCAAGCCAGGCUGCUGUGAGAAGAGCUUUUGGCUGAUUGGGUGUUAAUUAGUUUUGGAGUGAAAUAUGAGGAAUGCAAAGUACUAUUUUAAGCUUCAGCUUGGCUGAGGGAAGGAAGGAAAUGAGGCCCUGGGGAUUAAUGAAAUUAUUUCACUGAUGUUUUUGUGGGGCAAUAAGCCUGAAGUCAGAGUGCUUUUGACUUGCUGUACUCAGAUGAGGUCACAGACUUUCGCAUCUAAUCCCUUCUCAGGGCACUGGCUCGGCAGUUUUAUGAGGCUGAGCCUCGGGCAAGCUUCCCAGCAGACCCUGAUGAAGGAUCUGAGAGCAGAGCACAAAGCCCUGGGGAUCGUCAGCUCUGCCACAGCCUCUUGGGCACCAAAUCGGAGCCAGCUGCAGUCUGUGUUGUUCAUCUGCACAGCUGCUCCAGCCCAAUGUGAUGGGGGCUUAGCCGCACGCAGCCGAGCAGCUUGAUGUUCACCCGUGGUUGCUAGAGGAUGUGUACGAAGGAAGGCAGGGGAAUCUCUGCUAAGUAUGGAGAGGUGCUGCUCUUGUUGGCUGCUUUAGCUUUUUCACCCCUUGCUGUAAUCUGGUCAUACGGAGGCUGGAAGCGGGGCCAGGGGAGUGAGGAGCUGUGAAGCCUGCAUUGCGGCUGCCUGAGCUGGAUGGCUUUCACAGGCGAAUAUAGUGCUUGGAUUGCUAGAGCUGUCACUUGAACAUCCUUCAGCAGCACUAAAGCAACCUUGAAGAAAAUCGAUACCCAAGAACUCACUGGGAGAGGCCAAGUCGGGAAAAAAGGAAAGGCUGAUUACAGGAAAGUGUGAUAUAUACACAGGGAGAACUAAGUCAGAAAGAGUUCAGCUACUUCAACGUCCAAGUCAAACAAGACGCAUGUAUUAAUGAAAAUACCCCUUACACGGGCUCCGGCACAAAAGUCGGAUGUGUCAAGCCCGGGUUCUGGCUACUACACCCAGGCAUUAGCUGAAAAAUGAGGUUCUGUAGCAGCCCCAAGAGGUCACCUCCACAGCUGCAGCAGGGUGAAAGCGGGGAUAGAAAUUUGGGCUGGUCACAUUUGUUUGGAUGCCUUUCAUAGCAGUGCAGUAAUGUUCUGACAACCUUUGCUGGUUAAUCGUGUAAAUGGGCAAAUGCCACAGAAGGCAGGUGUGAAAUUUUCUGCUGAUGUAUGGCUAGGGUAGCUAGAUCUGGAAGUGAACCAUCAGGUCCUAUCCAUUUUCUGGUCAAAGUGAAACCCAUUCCUCACGUCUAUUGUAUACUCCUUUAUCCGGUCUUGUUUUUAAAGCCCCGUGCAACAGCGCUUCCAGCCUUCUGCAAAGGAGACUAUUCCCAUUGCUCAUAAAUCUACUAUCAGGAAGCUGUUUCCAAGAUUAAAGCUUAAAUGUUUCCCCUCUCUAGUUUCAUGCCCCAGCUCCCAAUUCCCUCUCUGCUGUAAUCACCAUGUCUUGGUUUCCUCCCAGCAGCUGGCAGUUCAUGUGGACGCAUGCUGGGGUCUUCAUACCCCACACCAAGACCCCAAAAACCUCCAUGCCAUGUCUGCCCCAAGAAGACCUAUGGUGGGACACAUUGGAAAUGGGGUGUGCUGCCCAAAUGUUUGGAAGUGGCUGAGCCGGGCUUUGGGCAGGCAAUUGUGUAAUGGCGUUAAGAAAAACGUCUCUUGCCGUAGUUCCCUCUUGGCUAGUUUAAGAGCUGUUCAGAGCAUUGACUUAGCGUUUGGCCCAUGGAUGAAGUAGUUAAAGGUCAUUAUCUGGUCAAGGUCUGUGUGGUUUUGGGACAAGCUGUCAGUGCACUGAAAGUGGAGUUCAGGGUCUAUUGUGGAUAUUGUACCACCUAUGGCAGGAAUGAUCGCUCCUGAAAUUGCGACAAUAAGCCAUAGUGGCGAGCCCUUGGACCUGAAAAGUCUACGUGAUGUGUGGGCAGGGAUUUCUGAUGGAGGAGGGAGCAAGGGAAGGGAAGACACAGGAUAUCUGGGCUCAUGUGGGAGCGAGGGAGGAGUGUGGGAUCCUGAGUCUCUUGGCUGUGGCACUCAGCCCUUCAGUAGUAAAGCUUGGAGAAGACCCCAAGUCUUUUCAUCAGCCCCUAAAAUAAGACUAAGCCAAGGCAGCAGUCACGGGAGAGGCUGAUUUCUUAGCAGAGGCCACUCUGCGUGACAGAGGAGGCAGGACGUGGCUUUCCCCAGCACCCUUGGGCACAAGAGUGGGGGAAGGCCCCGGUUCUCCCAUUGUGGGAUCUCUGAGAGGCUUUUCACACCAGCCUUUGAUGUCCCUCCCAGCCUUCAUUGCCCUCAACUGUUUCUGUUCCCAGGGCCAUUUUGGGGCAGCUCCUUGGGUUGGUGGGGGGAGAGGCUCCUGAGGGGGACCCUUACCACCCGACCUCCCCUGAGGUCACUCCAUCACUUUUCUGUGCAGGUUGGCAAAUCCCUUGUGGCUCUGUCCUCUGUGGGACUUCAGGGGAGUCCCUCAACAAGAAAGGUGCUUCUAAUGCCCUGUACCACCAGAUAAAAUCUUUUGUACGUGUUUUUUUUUAUUAUUUUUACAUGAAAAAGCAACACUCAGAUUUCCUCCUGACAUUUAAAUUGUCAGUAAGUGACAAACUGAAUAAACAUUCCUGUUUCACUGGGACAAAGGCUCCAAGAUCCUGCUGUGACUAAAUGUUUCAUCAUUUCCGAAGUGAAAUGUUUCAGUUAAAAAAAAAAAUAAGAAAAGAAGAAACACUAAAAUUGACACAUUUCAAUGUUUUCCUAAUUAUUUUCUCUAUUUUGGCUGAAGCUAUUAGUCAAAAUUUGGCCCUAUUUAACAAAUAGUUUUGGAAUCUUCCAAAACUUCUAUUUUGGUGACUUUGCCCGUUAUUGGUGAAUAACAGUUUGAUCUCUGUGCUGCUCACCAGCGCAGUGUGUGUUCCCAUUUACCCUGAGGAGCUUUCCUUGCAGGUUUGCUGCUGGGACCUGCUUGGGCACCCCGACACCAUGACUCCCACAGCUCCCCGGCUGCACAACCGCCUGCCUCCGCCAGGCAGACUGAGGCUGCCUCUACCCUUUCCCAUGCAGGAUGUAUGUUGAAAUGCAUGUGUGUGUGCAUGUUAGGUUCAGGCCAUAAGACUUGCUCAUCUCUGCAUCUCUUUCGUACGUGUGGAUGGAGUCUCAGUGCCACACGGUGAUGGAGCAGGAUCUUUUGUGUAAGACCGAUCCCAGGCUAUCCUAAGCGGCUGCACCCAAUGACGUAUCUGGGCUAAACCUCUGCCAAGUUCCUCCCAGUUGCUGGCACAACUUGUUUGUUGGAUUCCAGUUCACCUUUCUUCCUGAGGCACCUGAAUUAAGGGGCUGCUUUGAAUCACCUCUCUCCUGAUCCCUUCUAUAUAUGAGUUGGUUGUUGAGCCUGUAAUCACGGGACAAGCAGGUACUGCUAAAGGUGAGGAAGCACUUCAUGGUUCUGAAAAUUACUGAAGUGAAAUUUUACAAUGAGUGCCUGCUGGUUUGUGACUUUUGUACAUCUAGGGAGUCCGAACAAGCAUAAGGCUUCAGGAUGCAAGAAGAGCUGAGGAAAGAUUUAUCCCCGCUGACUGGAAGUGGGAGAAGGUUUUCCAGUCCCAAAUUUCCCCGCCGCCGUCAGAGCCUGGCUGAGAGGCACAUCGCUGUCACAGUGCUGCUGAAGGUUUUCUCUCGUGCUGUUGUGAAAACCAUUGACCUCAGGUGAAAGCCCCAUGACCCUGAUCUGGGAACAGCACACUUCUUCAGCUGUCCAGGUCUGUCCUGUUGACACCACAAGAAUGAGAGGAGGGAAACCUCGCAGGCAGAAGACCCUCCUGCCUGCUGGCUCCCUUGAUCCCCCUUUACUGGCUUCAGAAAGCAAGAGCAGGUGGGUGCCAGCCAGCAGCCAGCGUAGUAAGAUUGGGUUCUUGGCAGUCUUUUGCAAUGGCAACUGAUUUUGAGCAUGCCAAGACCAGCCCCUUCAACCCUGAUUCUAUAAAAACCAGCCAGCUUCAGCAGUGAAACAGCUGCAGCUAAUGGGAAGAGCAACUCGCCCUGCAGGCUUCCGAAUGGUUCAGCUCUGAACCUCCCGGCCUUGGCAUACUGUCAUCUCUCUGUCCAUCAGCAGCUCCAAAACCUGUGUGCUGUGCUGCAUCGCUAACUCGCGUAAGGUUUAUCGCAUGCCAAGGGAUGCCUUUUGCUUGCAGAGCGACGGGCCAGCUGCAGCUGUAUGCAAUACAGCCUUGUCGGGUCUCUUUCUAUAAGGUCCAAUGCACAGGUGCAUUUUUGCAGCCUUGCAGGCUACCAGUGCUUGGAGGGCCACGUGCUGGGGAGCUCGGCUGUGUGUGCUGAAGGCCUGCUGGACUACGGAGAGCACAGAAUCCAGCUUCAAAACACGCAGAGGGAAGUCUCCAGCUGGGAAAAGACAAACUCACUCUGUUGAAUGUUUUAGGUCCAAUUCCCUGGCUAGUGUGAGCAAACAAGCAUCUGCUCACUUUAAUCCCCGGCUGUACUAAGCAAGGAUGUUGCCGUGCAUUGGCCAAACAGGGUUUUUGCAAAGGAAGGAAAGUAAAAUGCAUGAUAAAUCUAUCACUAAUGGUAAAUCCUUUGAGAAAGCUAAACAGCACUCCAGGAGCUGGAGCACUCCAGAUUUGGGGAGUGUCUCCCAGCUGCAGGCUCAGGAGCGCCCUUGGCUCCAGCGCUACUGCAUCUUGCCCGUACGUGGCAUCUCCGAGCUGACCAAAUACUGACUCCUGCGAUGUGUGAGCGGCCAGGUCCUACCUGCCCUGCGGGCUGCCCCCAGCUGAACCCAGGGCUUUGCUUCUGCCCUUCUUGUCCGCACAGGCUGGAGGCUCUGAGAGCACUUGCAGUCCCUGAGCCCUGUCUCAGCACCCAGACUGCCACGCUCCAGGGUGGCUUCCAAAAGGGAUGGAGAACAGAAGGAAAAAGGUAGUCUGGCUCAUCAUGAACUAAGAUGCAGCUCAGACACAGACCUUGGGGCUGGGGCAGCAAGACGAGGCUUUGUGUCAGGGGGGAAGCAUUGGCAUCACCACAGGGGUUGGUUUCCUCUGACUGCCGUCCCAGACCGAGGAGAUGUCAGCCUCCUUGGAGGAGCAACAUGGAGCAAACUACAUUUGAUGUAAUAUUGCCGGUGGGAAAACCACUUGCUGCAGUUCUGAAGAAAGGAAUGAACGGGAUGGUCCAUGUCAUCUCAAAAGCUUCUCUAAGCCAGCAGCCGUGAAGAGAAGCCUAGACAUGGCAAAACCCCUUUGACUCCUGCCUCAAGGUAGCCAAGUCCCCCCCGCCAGCAGCUUCCUGCAGUGGGCGGCUAUGCCAGCAGUGCACCCGGUGCCAAGAGGAUGUGCGAGACAGAGCACACUUUGUGUCACGUCUGGCCCGGGCUUGCCUGGUGAGAAGAAACACAGCAGAAAUAUGCCAGGGUCUGACAUGUCACCUCACCGGUGGUGCCGUCCCUUUGGCCCAUUCUGGGACUCGAUGGGGAGCCGUGGUGGAGUCUCAGGACUGACGCCGGAGUAAAGUCAAGUUAGCUUGCUGCAGCAAAGGAAGACAACUCAGGAUGAGCGUGUGUCUCUGCACUUCUUUUAUAACCUCUCCUUAGCUGAUGCCUCAAGAUGCUACACACACUCAAAAAGGCUGGGACAAUGCUGCACUGGAGGCCAAGAGAAAGGCUGGAGUGAAGCCGGGGCAUGCUGGCUGCGGUGGGACAGCUUGGGUGCAGGAGAGGCCAGCAACUCAUUUCAGGUGGUUCCUGAGCCCAACAAGUACAAUCAGACUAACGUGACAGCCCGUGGCAGCUGGAAGAGGUUAUCCCCGGCACACACGUUAGUGUUGUGUUCCUCCACUCUUAGCAAGAGGAGGCGAUGCAAAUGAGGUGUAUUCAGCCCACUUGCCCUUGGAGCAUUCGUGGUACUGGGUCCUGCAGAGGGACACAUCUGAAGGUGUGCAAUUCACCGUGGGACUGGCAUGGCAGGUCCCAACCAACAGCAGCAGUGGCUGGGGAGGGAAUGAAGGAAAUCCCGACCCCCCACAGUAGAGAAAGCAGCUGGUGAGCAGCGCAAAAAGCCGUGCACCAUAGCCCGUGCUUCGUCCUAAGGUAACGCUUAGCCGGAGUUUCCUGAUGAACUGGGUAUUUUGGGGAUGGUGUGGUGGUGAAGGUCAGAAGGGACAUCUGGAGGUGACGGAUCUAAACCCCCAUGCAGGGCAGGACCUCACUUGGGUUGCUCAGGGUCUUAUCCUGAGGAGUUUUGACCAUCUCCAAGAUUGCCCAGCCUCUCUGGGAACCAGCAGGGAAGGGCUGAUGGAGGAGCGGCUGAGUAAGGGCAAGUUAGCCCUGGCUCCAGCAGCCACCUGGUCCCUGAGAGACACCUGGGGAUGGAGGGGGCCCAGGCCUGAGGGUGCCUGCCCACAGUUCUGCCUGCUGCUGAGGGUGUAGGUCUCAAGGUCCCUGAGGUCUGAGCAGACAGGAGUCAGGGGCUUCAGCCCCUCCACGCAGGAGCCUGCCAGCUGAAAGCCAGUGCUGAGCACAUCCCAAACACGAGCACCAGUGCGGCACUGCCAGGACUCAGGGUGUGGAUGUGAUGGCGAGCACUGGGAGGCUACCUCCAUCCCAGUUUGCAUCUACAUGUUUAAGGGUAUUUAAAGGGUUCUUAAUGGUGUUUAGGUAUAUUUAAAAGCUCACCCUUCUCCCUGGGACUAGAACAGGCAAGGGAGCCCACAUACGAGAUGCUCUGCGAGCAGAGCGGCCCCAAAGCUGCCCCAAGGUGGGUGGCAUGGCUGGAGCCAGAGGGGACCCACAGUCUCCCUGCCUGCCACCCUGGGGUGCCCCUGGGUGCCACCACCUGGGAUUUGCUGCUGAGGAGUUGAUGCAUGCAGCAAGUUGUGAGCGUUCUCAGCUGCUGGCAGUGCCUGAGCAGCCCUCUGCUCACUGGGCUGCACUGGGGACCAGCCACUGCACUGACAUGCGCCUGCCCCAUGUCCUGCUCGGACAGCCCUGGCACUGGUGCCAUCGGGCAGCAUCCUGAGCUGGAGAGAUGAAGGCCUUUGUGCAACAGUUUCCCUCCAGCUCUGCCCUGGAGAUGCAUGGGGAGGCCUGAAAAUGCCUUUGAGUCCUGGUCCUGCAAGAGGGGUCCCAGAGAUGCAUAGCUGGAUGAAAGCAGACACAUCUGGGUUGUAUCCCCUGCUUGGCUCCGGCCCCGCUGCUGAGGCUGGGCUCUUUCCUCCCCGCUCCGGGCUGCUCUGUGCCCCCCGCUGCAGCUGG